rnacentral:misc_RNA from 1 species
UACGUAGGUGGCAAGCGUUGUCCGGAAUUAUUGGGCGUAAAGCGCGCGCAGGCGGUUUCUUAAGUCUGAUGUGAAAGCCCACGGCUCAACCGUGGAGGGUCAUUGGAAACUGGGAAACUUGAGUGUAGGAGGGGAAAGUGGAAUUCCACGUGUAGCGGUGAAAUGCGUAGAGAUGUGGAGGAACGCCAGUGGCGAAGGCGACUCUCUGGUCUGUAACUGACGCUGAGGAGCGAAAGCGUGGGGAGCGAACGGG